UCUCGCAUUUGCCCUCCUCCGAUUAUCUCUCUCUCUCUCUCUCUCUCUCUCUCUCUCUCUCUCUCUCUCCUCAAUUCCCUGUCACAGACCCAACCCCGUACCCCCUAUUACUGUCUUCAUUUUCUCUCUUCCUCACUCCCUCUCUCCGCCAUUCCAAUCUUCAUCAACAGUGGUAGCCCCUAAUUUCCUAUUUCAGCCAUAGGGGAGAUUUUGAAAGGAGCCACUACAAAAAGGGAGAUUUCACUAGACCACCACCGUCUCCAGGGAGAUCGGUACUCGGUCGUCGUCAAUAUUCAAGGAGAUCCGAAACAAGUAUUUUAAUUAGUUAAGUUCUUCGUUUUUCCCCCCUGAAUCAGAUCAAUCUCUCUCUACCUGUGUAUUUUGAUUGUUUGGUUCAAUUCCAUAGAUGUGACAAAAAGUUAGAUUUUAUGUAUGAGUAACCUGAUAUAUACACAUAUAGAUAUAGAUAUAUAUGUAUUGUGGAGAAUAUGUAUGCAUACAUUUCUAUAUAUACACAUAUAGAUAUAAAUAUAGAUAUAUUUCUGUACUGUGGGGAAUAUGUAUUUAUGAGCUCUCUAUGCAUUUGCACAUUGUACAAACUCUCAGUUUGUCUAAUAUACAUAUUUCAUCUUUUUGACUGAUCUUGAUUACCUUGAUUGUGGAUGAAUUUGACGUGUGUGUGUACAAUCUGUUUUCAAAUGUUAUAGAUUGCCUAAUUUUCAGAUUGUAGUUACCAGUGGACUAAAAACACAGCUUUCUAAUAUAGCAGAGAACCUUUUAGUGUUUUUCCCUAUUCAAACAAAAUAUCUAUCAACUUUUUUUUCUCUGUAAUUUCCAUCUACAUUUUCAUGUUUACUUUGAGCUUACCUGAGCACAAAUUUACAUUGGUGAAUAAUCUCCCAAGUUUUUUGAAUUAAGAUGUACAAAGAAGCAUUGAACUUUUAAAGUUUGAUGAAGAAUUUGGUUGAUUCUUAAUUUGUUGAAAGAUAAUUCUUUGUUGAUUUAAGAGUAAUGCUAUUUGGGCCAAAAGUCAGUGAACUCACAGUAGUAUUUAUGUUAUACAUUUUAUAUUCUUAUAUUCUUAAGCUGCCAAAGCCAUGUCUAGUCUAUCCAUGUUCCAUGAAGGGGUAGACAUGUACCUCAAUUUGACACAAUUUUGUGAAUACUUUGGCUGCAUUUUUUUUUUUUUUUUGUAACAGAUACUCUGGCUGCAUUUUUUUUCUCAACAGACUCUGGUUGCAUUUUUAAAAUUUUAAUUUAAUUUAAUUUAUUUUAUUUUUAUUUUUUAUUUUUUUAUACUUUGGUUGCAUUUGUUCAAGCUAUUGCAGUACACAACAAGAUAGGUACAGAAAUGGAAGAAGAAUUGGGGUAACGAAUUUCCUAAUAUCCUAAGUUGAUUACCAUACAUUACAUGCAUUAAACCCCCAACUUCUUGUAUAAAUUUCAGGUGGAUUAUGAGGUUAAUAUAUGUACUGGCAAAUUGGAAACUUUAGACCGUUGUGGUAAAGUACAUUUCAUGUCUAAUCUUUCCAUGUUGUUGCAGUGGUCUCCAUAUUCAACAGAAGUAGAACUUCUGCAACAAUUGUAGCCAAACAGUGAAAAGGCAGAUGACUGUAUCUAAUGCAAAGCUUUCUGUGUAUUUUGAAGCAGUUGAAGCAAGAUUUCUUCAUGCACCAUUUAGUGCAUUCGUGGAUGUUCUUACGCUAGCCACAAAAACAGUUGAAGAAUUUGGUUAAGGAAUGGAAUUAUGAUGCCCUUUGUAGUACAGUCUGAUUAUUGUAGUUGGUUUUUCUAGCUAUUCAGUUGUAAUGUAACUUUAUUUAGCAUUUUUCAUAUCAUUUUUGGUUGCCCAUUCUUUUUCUUUUUUCUUUUUUUACACAAACGGUUGUACCUUAAAUUUCAUAAACUUUUUUAGUCAUUGUUGUUGAAUGGAAGAGUUGUGUUUACUGUUUAUGAUUCA